UACAGAGGUCUCAAGCGUUGUUCGGAUUCAUUGGGCGUAAAGGGUGCGUAGGUGGCGCUGUAAGUCGGGUGUGAAAUUUCGGAGCUUAACUCCGAAACUGCAUUCGAUACUGCGGUGCUUGAGGACUGGAGAGGAGACUGGAAUUCAUGGUGUAGCGGUGAAAUGCGCAGAUAUCAGGAGGAACACCGACGGCGAAGGCAGGUCUCUGGGCCAUAACUGACGCUGAGGAGCGAAAGCGUGGGGAGCUAACAGG
rnacentral:rRNA from 1 species